AAUGCGUGCACUCAGAAGAACUGGAUAGAAGUUGUAAAAUAGUAACUUUGAUAUUUUGAUGUUUCCUGUGUUUGCUUUCUUUAACCAGUUCCUGGAUGCGUUGUUGGUUUGCUUCUUGUUAGGUGUGAUCUCAGACCCUGCUUGAAUUUAGUUUUCAAAUACAGUGUGUUAUGAGUGAGCAAAAAAGUGCAGCUCAAUGCUGGCAGCAGCUGGAGAGCAAGCACCAACGUGUAUAGGAAUUCCAUUUUAUAUUCCAUAUCUGUUUUAUAAGACCACAGAUUUUAAACUCAUCCUUACACGUUUUCACUCAAAACCAGUUGUGCUUAUGUUGUUCUUUCUGUUGAUGUGGAUGUGCUUCAUCCUCGUUUUUGUUUUGUUCAGUGCUUGUAGCACCUUAUCUGCAAGCAUUUAACAUGCUAUUUUGUGGAAAUGCUGUUGAUUUCAACAGCCGAAUCGUUUCAGUUAAUACAGUUUUCCCAGGGAACUUGGAUGAGAUUUGUUCAGUGUGGAGAAUUCUGCUUUGCUCAGAGUUUAUAAGCAGCCGAAAGGAGCCCUGUAAGUUAUGUUUGACAGGAUAUAUUUUCAUUGCCAUCCACUUAGUUAUCAGUCAUUUUCACCUUCGCUUACCCAGUAAAACCAGGAUAAAUGAUUCUUCCUGUGAGACAGCAGAUGAAGCCUGUUCGUAUUCAUCACUUUAUUUUCACUCUUGCCAGUCACGAGGCAUGAAAUGCAUCCUAAUCCUCCUGUGAUUCCUGUCUCAUUGUUUCUGCUUGGAUUGUUGCCUGUGACUGCAUUUCAGGUAUUUAGCUUGUUUGGAGGCAAAGGAGCAGAAAAAAUAUUUUCUGCUUAUCUUUUUGUUUUGAACAUACUGGAAAGGGAAGAAGUCCAGGCCUUCUGGAAAAGUAGAGAAGCCACGGUGCUGAGGAAGUCUGAGCCUGCAGCUCUUUACCAGAAGCUGUGAGAGCUCUUAGUUUUGAAGAAUAUACCUUCAGUAUAAACCUUACCAGAAGAGAAGUGCUUGCAGUGGGCUGUUCCUCCUCAUCAGGUCUUUGUCCCAGAGCUUUUCUGUGGUCUUGCUCUGAGUGGGAAUGUACUCAAAACCUGCUCUGAAGGUCAGGAUGCACUCCUUGAGGUGGAUUUUUUGCGUGCUAAGGAAUAAAAUACUCUUACUUACAGUCAGAACAGUCUGUUCCUUUGGAUGUCUCAGAGGGGCUCUGAACGUUGCACAUCAGGUGAGGAUAACUGUGUCUGUCAGCCAGCUGUCAGGCCUCUUAGGCAAUUCCACAUUCCCUUCCAGAACUGAACUCAGUUGUUUGAUCCAGGUGUUCCAUGUUAGAGAACCAUUUGUGCAGGAGAGGCUUUGGCCUCUCUUUAUCUUUCUUAAUACGAAAAACUUAUGGAUUAAAUAAAAUCACUGAGCAAGGAUGUGUGCAGAGAAAGCUACACCUUCCAGACUUCACAAGGCUUUUCAGGUGUGAAAGGCAAUUCUGAAGAAUAGAGCUUCUCCUUCCCCACUUUCAUUGGAAAUGGCGUCAAGUAUUCUUUUAGCAGCUGGGCUCAAGCUUAAGAGAGAAGCAGCAAAAGAGCAUCAAAUGACUGGCUAUGUAGAUAGGUGUUGCUGAAAUGAGAUGCAAACAUGCUAGCACUUGAGUAAAGUGGUUUUAUAGUAGAUGACAAGAUCUUAGUGCAAAAACAGCAAGAGUGGGUUGAUUCAGCAAGCAAUGCUUGAACCCUAGUAGCAGUAAAUGCUUUUCUCUUUCUGUUCUGUCCCAUUCCUCCCCCUACUCCAUCAAACAGAAAACAGUAAUAAUGGAUUUUUAAUUAAAUUUGAACUUGUUGAAGGAAUACAUUGAGGAGUGCUGUUGUGUUAUAGAAGUUUAAAGGCUAGUUGAAGGCUUAGAGUCCAACUCAAGCUGGAAUCACCAUCGUUCUCAGAGGCGGUAUUUAGAAUGUUUGUUCCUUUAAUUUGCUAGUUUUCACUUAAAUCUUUUACAUCAAUUCAUAGUUUUCUGUUCUCUAAUAAUAUAAAAGCCAUAAAUUUGGGUGCUGUGGGAUUGUAUGAUGACACUUACUGCAAGGUAGAGGGUUUUGACAGACUGAGAAAGAUUGCUUGUUUGGUUUUUUGUUUUUUGGUAGGCUUGUCUGUUGUGAACUGACAGCCAUGUAUUUUCAGUUACAGCUGCAAAUAUGGCAUUUUGAGCAUAAAGGUUUUCUACUGAUUUAGACUCUCAGUGUUGUUUGUAUCAGGGUUAGCUAUGAAAGGUUUCUACUGCACGGUAUAUACAGUGGUUUCCAGAGAGCCACAGCUUGGGGAACCCCUGCAGAGCUUCCAGAGGAGGAUCAUGACAGUGACUUUGGGAGUCCGCCACUCUCACUGUGACACUUUCUUCCUCCUGUUGUACUUAAGUCUGCCUGAACUCUCAAGAAGGAAACUUCAGUUUGUUAAUAAACCCUUUCCUCACCAACCAGGGUAUGAAUACAGCUAAUUUAAUAUAUCCCAAGUCUGUUUGCUUUGCAUUUUUGCAUCACUGGGAGGCAGCGAUAUGAAAGCAGUGCGUGUUGAACUGUGCAGCUUGUAGAUUCUUUAAGAAUCUGUCUUAAAAUACAGCUGCAACAGGAAGAUGGUAAAGUAGUUUCUAGGAGUGAAUAGAACUGUGAGUACUGCUGAAACACUACAUUGUCUUCAACCACUCUGUUCCUUUCAAAGGAAUUGUAGUGAGCAUCAUUUACUAUUCCUGUAUACUCAGACAUUAUUCUACACUAACUUGCUUUUCUACUUCUGUGCCUCUGCAUUUUGGUUUUUCAGUUGCACAUUAUAGGUGUAUACUUUGUGGUUGAUGCAUGUUCUUCCCUUCUUAAUGCCAUAUGUGUCUUUUGAUUAACUACUGUUUAAGUGAUACAGAGAGCUGCACAUUUGCUGAAUCCAGCAUACUAGGAAAAGAAAUUGUAGUUAAUGUGCCUAAAAAGGUAUCCAAGAACAGCCUUACUGAAAACACUGAAAGAACCCAGUUCUUUUUGUUUAGUAGAAUUAUGGAUAAUACCAUACCUUCCUUUCUUUGGCCAAAUUGGGGACGUUCCUUCAGAUGUGAGUUGUUGGAGACGUUUAUCUGGAGAAACUUCACCACCCAAAUACUUGUAGUACGAGUAGUUUUUACCAGUUUAGCACCUGGUCUUUUGGUUUUCACUUUUUCCUCUGUUCCCACUGCCAGAACUCUUCAUCUGACAGACCAAGAAGCCAGUUCUUCCAAACAGUGAUUUCUUUCAUCUCGGGUAGAUGAGUAUCUGGUGGUUUUCAGUUGUACAGAUGUUUCUCAGUGCAAGAAAGCAGUUCUUUCUAUUGCAGGCACUUCUCUUGCUAGUGCUUAGUAUGCACUGGGGAACUGAUCUAAGACAACACUGAUGUUUUAAUUCUCUGGUUUGGGUUUGUGUACAAUUGAGGAUGAUACAUGAGGAAGAGCCAGAAUACUGCCUUCCUUUAUUCAAAUGACAAUUAAAAAAAAAACCUGGUGAUAAUGUGCCCUAUACAAGGCUAGAAAGAAUGAGGAGUGGUGUGGGAUGUACGUGGUGCUACUGUUCUGCCAGCUAAAGAUAGGGAGUAAAACGUGGUACAGAUGAGUGUGGAAAGAUGUCAAGAUGCGGCAUCUUGUUCAUUACACAGCUUUUAGUAGGGCUGUGCUCUAACUUCCUGCUCUGAAAUCAGCUGAUAAGAUAGGCAGCACAUUUUUGGUUCUUGCUGUUUGACUGAAAUCUCCCUGUACCUGAAGAACACAUUGGGACAGUUUAUUUCUGGAACCAGUCAGCAUUCUUCCCUCGCAGUGUGCUCAUCAUGAAAGCAGGUCUUAUUGGAGUGCCCAUUACUGUGCACUUCUGAAACAAGAGCAGGUGAAGUCACCUCAGGUCUCUAAAUCAAAAACACAUAGGAAGUCUUUGAAAAUCCUGAACUAGAAUAAAAAUGUCCAAGGGAAUUUUUGCAUGGGCGAAGGAUUGCAAGCACCAGCAUCAAAAUUGUACUGAAGUUGCAUUAAAAGAAAUCUGUUGUAGUCAGAUGAUGUCUCUCUCGUCUUUGUUCUUGCAUCUUAGGUUUUCUAAAGAUGAUACUUAAGGACGGAGUAGCAGCAGCAUUUGGGUAGGGAGAAGAUAGCCUGAUAAAGCUAUGUGUUGUUUUAGGACUUUUUAAAAAUUAUUUUUAAGGAAUGCUUAAUGUGAACUGCAUCUUUCCAUUGUAAUCUCCUCCUCUGUUGUUCAAUUAGUCAUUCUAGGAGUGCACCCUUUCUCAGUGGGGGUACAGAAUAAACUGCUGUACAAGCAUAAUGGAAGUCUUGCUUAGUGUGAAAUCUCAGCUUUCGAAAGCGAGAAGGUGCUCCUAGGCUUGGUGGCCAGCAGAGUGGUAGCAAAUGCUGAAGGACAGAGACUGUGAUGAGCACUAACAGCGAUGUGCAACGGGAACUGAUGGCAGGUAUUCAUAUCUAGUCCUCGUAGUCUGAGAUAAAUAUGGAAGCCAUAGGUGCAGAGUGACUUCUGUGGAUUCCUCUGUUCUGGACGAAUAUUUCAGUGUUGAUAGAAACAUUUGUUUCCAUAGCGUGUCCAAGAGCUGUUCUGCAGUGGAGAAGGUAAGUUCAUACGUGUGGGCAGGUGGUGGACAACCAAACCCUUAAUUUGUUCUGAUUUAUUUUUUUUUCUCUGACCCAGUCCUUAGAGUUUUAUUGGACAGAUGUUGGACUGAUCAGACAGCUGCUGAAACCAUGAAGAAUUGGGGCAUAUUUUUAUUACUGGGGAGGAAAAGAGAUAUCUAAGAUUUUUAGCCUUUCCACGAUGCUCUCAGAUGCGUUGUUGAAUUUUAAGGUGUUUCUGUAUGGAUCCAGAUUGCAAUAUGCUGUAAUUACGUUUGUUGUCUUUUGAAACACAGACUCAGGUGCAGUUCAGUGUCAUUCUCUGUUCAUUUUCCUGAUUGAGGAUUACUGUCUCUGCAGUGCUUGUUGCUUGAAACUAUUCCGUUGCCACUGUUUAUUUCUGUCUUACAAGUUCAGCUGGGUCCUCUUUGCUUUAUGGUGAGGGACUGCUGCUGGCUAUUAGCUGUGCUUUAAAGACAAACAUUCCUAUUUUUAUUCAAGUUCAGAUUGUGUUUGCUCUGAAACCCAGUGGAAGUGUUAGCUGUAUCUCAGCUCCCUGAUUUGGGUUGAUAGGACUUGCCUGUGAAUCUUGUUCUGACAGAUCAUUACCUCCCUGGACUCCUUCCUUAGCUAACUUAUCAAAGAAUCCAGGUAUGCUUUGCUAGGUAAAACUAUGCGUAGACAGCAGGGAUUUGUUGUUCAUGGGAGGAGGGAGGGAGGAGGAAUUCAUAGCAUGGAAACAUGAAAUCUGAAUCAGUUUGAAUUUAAAAAUAAAAAUCUAGGAGAUUCAGUAUCUUAAUGCUGUGGGUUGGAAGAAUGCUGGAGAAGCUCUUGAAUAUGAGAUUAUUUUUUUAAAAGUGUCAAUAAAAUUGUGUGCAAUCUGUGCUUUUGCAGUAAAUAGAAACUGUACCAUGGAUUAGCUCAUCUUCCAGAAGAACCCCAGCAUCUGCCUGCCAUGGCAAGUGAUCUGAGGAGCUCCAGGUGGGUGUGCUACAUGUGUAUCGAGUCUUCUCUCUAGACGGUGUACUCUAUGAACUGCACAUGCAUUGUAUAAUUGUUUCCUACCUGGUCCUUUUGUAAUGUCUGUUUGUUUGUUUGUUUUUCAAAUAAACAUCUUUUGAAGUCA